rnacentral:rRNA from 1 species
AGCGUACACGGUGGAUGCCCUGGCAGUCAGAGGCGAUGAAGGACGUGCUAAUCUGCGAUAAGCGUCGGUAAGGUGAUAUGAACCGUUAUAACCGGCGAUUUCCGAAUGGGGAAACCCAGUGUGAUUCGUCACACUAUCAUUAACUGAAUCCAUAGGUUAAUGAGGCGAACCGGGGGAACUGAAACAUCUAAGUACCCCGAGGAAAAGAAAUCAACCGAGAUUCCCCCAGUAGCGGCGAGCGAACGGGGAGCAGCCCAGAGCCUGAAUCAGUGUGUGUGUUAGUGGAAGCGUCUGGAAAGGCGCGCGAUACAGGGUGACAGCCCCGUACACAAAAAUGCACAUACUGUGAGCUCGAUGAGUAGGGCGGGACACGUGGUAUCCUGUCUGAAUAUGGGGGGACCAUCCUCCAAGGCUAAAUACUCCUGACUGACCGAUAGUGAACCAGUACCGUGAGGGAAAGGCGAAAAGAACCCCGGCGAGGGGAGUGAAAAAGAACCUGAAACCGUGUACGUACAAGCAGUGGGAGCCUCUUUAUGGGGUGACUGCGUACCUUUUGUAUAAUGGGUCAGCGACUUAUAUUCUGUAGCAAGGUUAACCGAAUAGGGGAGCCGAAGGGAAACCGAGUCUUAACUGGGCGUUAAGUUGCAGGGUAUAGACCCGAAACCCGGUGAUCUAGCCAUGGGCAGGUUGAAGGUUGGGUAACACUAACUGGAGGACCGAACCGACUAAUGUUGAAAAAUUAGCGGAUGACUUGUGGCUGGGGGUGAAAGGCCAAUCAAACCGGGAGAUAGCUGGUUCUCCCCGAAAGCUAUUUAGGUAGCGCCUCGUGAAUUCAUCUCCGGGGGUAGAGCACUGUUUCGGCAAGGGGGUCAUCCCGACUUACCAACCCGAUGCAAACUGCGAAUACCGGAGAAUGUUAUCACGGGAGACACACGGCGGGUGCUAACGUCCGUCGUGAAGAGGGAAACAACCCAGACCGCCAGCUAAGGUCCCAAAGUCAUGGUUAAGUGGGAAACGAUGUGGGAAGGCCCAGACAGCCAGGAUGUUGGCUUAGAAGCAGCCAUCAUUUAAAGAAAGCGUAAUAGCUCACUGGUCGAGUCGGCCUGCGCGGAAGAUGUAACGGGGCUAAACCAUGCACCGAAGCUGCGGCAGCGACGCUUAUGCGUUGUUGGGUAGGGGAGCGUUCUGUAAGCCUGCGAAGGUGUGCUGUGAGGCAUGCUGGAGGUAUCAGAAGUGCGAAUGCUGACAUAAGUAACGAUAAAGCGGGUGAAAAGCCCGCUCGCCGGAAGACCAAGGGUUCCUGUCCAACGUUAAUCGGGGCAGGGUGAGUCGACCCCUAAGGCGAGGCCGAAAGGCGUAGUCGAUGGGAAACAGGUUAAUAUUCCUGUACUUGGUGUUACUGCGAAGGGGGGACGGAGAAGGCUAUGUUGGCCGGGCGACGGUUGUCCCGGUUUAAGCGUGUAGGCUGGUUUUCCAGGCAAAUCCGGAAAAUCAAGGCUGAGGCGUGAUGACGAGGCACUACGGUGCUGAAGCAACAAAUGCCCUGCUUCCAGGAAAAGCCUCUAAGCAUCAGGUAACAUCAAAUCGUACCCCAAACCGACACAGGUGGUCAGGUAGAGAAUACCAAGGCGCUUGAGAGAACUCGGGUGAAGGAACUAGGCAAAAUGGUGCCGUAACUUCGGGAGAAGGCACGCUGAUAUGUAGGUGAAGCGACUUGCUCGUGGAGCUGAAAUCAGUCGAAGAUACCAGCUGGCUGCAACUGUUUAUUAAAAACACAGCACUGUGCAAACACGAAAGUGGACGUAUACGGUGUGACGCCUGCCCGGUGCCGGAAGGUUAAUUGAUGGGGUUAGCGCAAGCGAAGCUCUUGAUCGAAGCCCCGGUAAACGGCGGCCGUAACUAUAACGGUCCUAAGGUAGCGAAAUUCCUUGUCGGGUAAGUUCCGACCUGCACGAAUGGCGUAAUGAUGGCCAGGCUGUCUCCACCCGAGACUCAGUGAAAUUGAACUCGCUGUGAAGAUGCAGUGUACCCGCGGCAAGACGGAAAGACCCCGUGAACCUUUACUAUAGCUUGACACUGAACAUUGAGCCUUGAUGUGUAGGAUAGGUGGGAGGCUUUGAAGUGUGGACGCCAGUCUGCAUGGAGCCGGCCUUGAAAUACCACCCUUUAAUGUUUGAUGUUCUAACGUUGGCCCCUUAUCGGGGUUGCGGACAGUGUCUGGUGGGUAGUUUGACUGGGGCGGUCUCCUCCUAAAGAGUAACGGAGGAGCACGAAGGUUGGCUAAUCCUGGUCGGACAUCAGGAGGUUAGUGCAAUGGCAUAAGCCAGCUUGACUGCGAGCGUGACGGCGCGAGCAGGUGCGAAAGCAGGUCAUAGUGAUCCGGUGGUUCUGAAUGGAAGGGCCAUCGCUCAACGGAUAAAAGGUACUCCGGGGAUAACAGGCUGAUACCGCCCAAGAGUUCAUAUCGACGGCGGUGUUUGGCACCUCGAUGUCGGCUCAUCACAUCCUGGGGCUGAAGUAGGUCCCAAGGGUAUGGCUGUUCGCCAUUUAAAGUGGUACGCGAGCUGGGUUUAGAACGUCGUGAGACAGUUCGGUCCCUAUCUGCCGUGGGCGCUGGAGAACUGAGGGGGGCUGCUCCUAGUACGAGAGGACCGGAGUGGACGCAUCACUGGUGUUCGGGUUGUCAUGCCAAUGGCACUGCCCGGUAGCUAAAUGCGGAAGAGAUAAGUGCUGAAAGCAUCUAAGCACGAAACUUGCCCCGAGAUGAGUUCU